rnacentral:lncRNA from 1 species
AAAUGUCGGCGUAUCGAGGAGAGUGUUUCAAGAUUACAUUUGAAGGUUAUACACGAUUGAUCAAAAUAUCGGGUGCUAGACAUUUACUUCCUUCCGCGGGGACCCAUUACGGGAACUUGCUUGGGUCCGUUCUUGAUGGCCAGAAGGUCGGGGGAGGAGGUAGAUCCCAGGUACCCAAUGGUGGUGGCACCGCCCAACACCAGAAACUUCAGGAGCAGACCUCUUUUGGUGAAGGCUCCAGCGAAGGUCUCAAAAAACUUAUUCUGCAUUUACAAACACGCAGAUCAUGAAUUAGAGAUAACUACUUCACAACCAAUCACCUGAAAGUUCGAAUCUGAGGAAUAAGUAGCAUCAGUAGGACUAGUCGCACUAGCAGGGAAUCCAUGUACAACAAACUUACUUGGUACACAUUAUACUAUGAAACUAUACCCGCAAACACACUUGGACGUGAAGGAGAGGAAAUACAAAAUUGAAAAACUCGAGCUCACCUGGAAACCAUUGUAUCGGUUGGGGUCGUCGUUACCGUACAGGUCCCAGUUCCCGGUGGUGUUGUCGAUCUCACCCAAGUCGAAGUACACGCUCUUCUCACCGUAUUUGGCACUGACAACUCCAACCCUGCACAGUGAAGAAUAGCAAGCGUAUUAAUCACUUAGGGUCGUGGUUAUCUAGUGCAACGUCGUCACUCUCAGGCCUUACACCCCAAACACGAAGCAAACGGCGACGCCACCUAUCAAAAAGGACGCCAGAUAUUAUGGCAAUACUACCAUGAUAUCCGUACAGCUAAGAAUCUACGUAACAGAAACAUCGCGAGAACAGCCGCAGAACCACAGAACCCACUUCCACCCAAGGCACUGUGGCGUACACGAACGCUUCCAGCGCCUUCGAGAUUCUCCUCGAGAAAACCACCGCUGCCACAACCUCUAUAACCACAACCGGGCAUUGCUAACCACCUAACUACCUAACCAACAAUACCCAUAAAAUCGCCCCUGGUUCAUCACUAACUACGCGGAGCAAAAACAACCGCCGACAGAGCUAAAACCAACGAAUCCAGAUUUUCCACAACCCUGUAUGGACAACCCAAUAUGGACAACCCAGAAGGAAGGACCCGCGCAAAGCACCCACGCUACGAUACCCAAAAUGGUCUAGAAAAGAGGAAGAGAGGGGGGUAUUGCGUGUGGGAGAGACGAACUUGGAGGGAGAUCGCAUGGAGACGCUCUUGGAGGGAGCGAUGGCCAACUUCUUCCCCGCGAGGGAGCUGCCGGCCAAGCCCGACACGGCCAUGGUGGCGGAUGCAGCAGCUGCCAUGGCGACUAGAUGCUCCUCAAAUGUGUGCGACGAGGCAAUACAAAGGGAGGUGGUGGUGGUGCGAAUGGAGGCGCGCUGCAGAC